rnacentral:rRNA from 1 species
GGAGGAAAGCAGGGGAUCGAAAGACCUUAUGCUUUUGGAGCGGCCGAUGUCUGAUUAGCUAGUUGGUAAGGUAAUGGCUUACCAAGGCAACGAUCAGUAGUUGGUCUGAGAGGACGACCAGCCACACUGGGACUGAGACACGGCCCAGACUCCUACGGGAGGCAGCAGUGGGGAAUUUUGGACAAUGGGCGCAAGCCUGAUCCAGCAAUGCCGCGUGAGUGAAGAAGGCCUUCGGGCUGUAAAGCUCUUUCAGUUGAGAAGAAAAGAUUGUGACUAAUAAUUGCAAUUCAUGACGGUAUCAACAGAAGAAGCACCGGCUAACUACGUGCCAGCAGCCGCGGUAAUACGUAGGGUGCGAGCGUUAAUCGGAAUUACUGGGCGUAAAGGGUGCGCAGGCGGUUCUGUAAGUCAGAUGUGAAAUCCCCGGGCUUAACCUGGGAACUGCGUUUGAAACUACAAAGCUAG